rnacentral:tRNA from 1 species
GCAGAUGGAUAGCACAGUUGGUUAGAGCAUGGUGCCGAUAACACCAAGAUUGCAGGUUCGAUCCCCGUAUGGGACAGCUGCA